UUAGAAUCUGAGUCGCGUAAGCCACGACCUCUCCAUCUUGUGAACUCCUAUAGAAUUAAUCCCAUAACUCUGCCUGCUUUCCCAGAGGCCUGCUGGGACCAGGGACAACCAGACAGGCACCUAGCAGAACUGUCAUUAGAGAGGCUUCGUCCAGCAUCUGAUGGAACCUGAUGUUUAGACCCUCAGCCAAACAUUAAGGGGAGCUUGAAGAAUCCUGUGGAAGAGGAGAAGGAAGGCGCCAGAAGGGUCCAGGACAUCCCAGGAAAACCUAUAGAAUCAAUUAACCUAGGCUCCCAGGAACACUAAAAGACUGAACUGCCAACCAGAGAGCAUGCGUAGGAUAGACCUAGGGCCUCUGCAUAUAUGUACCAGUUCUGCAGCUAUGCAGUGGGCAGGAGCUGUCUCUGACUACACUGCCUGCCUUUGGAUCCGUUUCUCCUAACUGAGCUGCGUCAUCCAGCCUCAACAGAAGAUAAGCCUAAUCUUCCUGCAACUUGAUAUGCAAAGGCUGUUUGAUAUCCAUGGGAGUCCUCCCUUUUUCUGACCAAAAGGGGAGAAGGGUUCAGUGGAGUAGUGGGGAGAUGAGGGAAGGGAAGCUACAGUCAGAAUGUAAAGUAAAUAAAUAACAAUAAAAAAGUGGCUGCAUGGUAUUAUAAAAAAAAGAUGGUAGAAUGGGAAAAGAAGAGAGAAAUGCAUACUGUAUGAUACCAUUUCUAUAAGGCUAAAACCACAUCUAGGCAAAUUGUGUAUGCACACAUCAUACAAUAAAUAUAAAUAUAUUUGGGAA